rnacentral:lncRNA from 1 species
AAAUUACUUUUCUUUCUUCUGGUGGAUUCAGGGUUUCCAUGGCUCCGUCUCGCCGCGCGGCUUCGACUGCGGCUUCAAUCCAGACAACAACAUCAAAAAGGAGGAGGAGGCAGGUCCUCUUCCUCUCUCUCUCACCGUCUCAGACUACCUCACUCCUUCCUGGUCUCUCUCUCCCUCCUCUUCUCCGCUCUCUCACUCCGAGGCUAGCGACUCAGACCGCGAGGAAGAUGAGGAGGAGGAAGAAGACGACGAUGACGACGACGAAGAAGAGCUGGAAGACCUGAGAGGCCGAAUGAUGCAACGGCGAAAGAAAAGGAAGACGGCCCCCGCCUCCAAGAAAAAGGCCCAGAGAGUUCAGCCCCGCCCCCUUUCUUUUGCUCGCUCCGCCCCUUCUUCAUCUCCUUUCCAGACACCACUGGCUCCUCCCACCACGAACAUAAACAACAACAUUAACAUAAACAUCGGGCGUGGCACCGGCGGCACGGUGAGCAGGCGGCAGCACUGUCCAUACUGCGGCCGGAACUUCCGCUCCCUCGCCCGACACCUGGAGAAACACCACGACCAGCAGCCAGAAAUCCGCGCCGCCAUGGAGCUAGCGCACCUACGCUCCUCACAAACCUCCACCGCCGCCGCCACACACCCUGCCGGCUCCGGCUCACACUCCUUCACCUCCCCCCUGCAGCCCUCCACCUCCUCCUCCGCCGCUCCUGGUCCCUCGCUGUUCUCCCGAGAGCGGGAUUCACAGUCCGCCUCCAAUUCCGGAGCUGUGUCCUUCUCCCUGUCCCUCUCUCCCACCUCCACCACCAACAACACCACCUCCUCCACCUCCAAAAAACCUCCACCCGCCCUCGCCACCCCGCCCAGGAAAACCACAGUGUCCGCCUCCACGCCCCCCAUCAAAGCCCCGCCCGUAACGCCCAGCGUCACUCCUCCCGCCAGGAGGGGGCGCCGGCCCAAGAAGGAGAAGCAGGAGGAGCAGCAGAGGAAGCAGGAGGAGCUGGAGAAGGCGAAGGAGGAGCCUCCUCCGACUCCAGGGCGAGAUGAGAAGGACAAGGUGGAGGAAGAGGAGGAGGAGGAGGAGGAGGACGAGGAGAUGAACGAAUCGAGAGACAAUGACAGUGGAGAUGAAAAGAAUGGAGAGACAGACAGUUCUCCCCGCUCUCACAUGCCCCCGCUGCUGUCCUCUCUCUCCACGCUGGUUCUGUAUUUGCGACGGCAGCAGCACUCCUCCUUCCUAUCGCUCUCUCGCGCCGGCAGCUCGGCCGAGGCCUGGCGGCUGCUGUGCCACUCCAGCCUGGCGCUCCUGAUCCUCUACAACCGGCACCGCGAGUGUGAGGUGGCCAAGCUGACCGUGCAGGACUACCGCAGCCGGGUCACCCCCUCACCUUCAUCCUCCUCCUCCGGCAGCGGUAACUCCUCUAACUCCUCCCACUCGCCUCUAGAGGGCACGCUCUCUCCUUUUGAGCGGCAGGUGCUGUGCCACCGCCCCCGUGUGGGUGUUCUGGGGAAGCGCGGGCGAGUUCAGCCGCUGAUCCUCCCGCCACAUUCAGAAGCCUGCCUGGACCUGCUGCUGAAAACCUCUGCGGACGUGGGCGUGGACCCCCAGAGUCCCUACGUCUUCUCCCGUCCCUUCCACUCCCCUGCCACCCCCUUACGUGGCACAGACCUUUUGCGGGGCCUGGCGCGCUCCAGUGGAGCGAAGAACCCCACGGCGCUGACGGCGCCCCGCGCCCGCCGGCAGGUGGCCAUCUUGACCCAGCUCCUGAUGCUGGAGGAAGGGGAGAAGCCCCAGGGAGUUGCCGCCAAACGCCUGGAGGAGUUCCUCCAGAAGGAGUACCACGUGACCCAGAGCUGCACCAGGAUAGGCCAGGACCCGGCGCUGAUGGGCAGAGUGAGCCGGGUGGUGCUGUACGGGGAGAGAGACGGCGUGCUCUUCAGAGGCAUGAGCCUCCAACACAUCUGUCUGGAGUUGGACGGUGAGUCAAGCAGCGACAAAAUACAUAAGGGCUGUUUUAGGGUCUUUCUUUACAGAUACAGAUACUAAUAAAGUUUCUGUCAUCAGCUGCUGUGUAACCUGUUAUUUAGUACACCAGUGACGACUUUCUUCUUCAGUACAUUCCUAACCCUUGUUCUAGCUAUGGUCAGUAUUUGUGCUCUAAUGAUUCUGAUUGAUUUUUUCUCAGCUUCACAGUUGCUUGUUUUUCACCAAUAGACUCUCACAUCUCUGUGGUUUUAAUGUUGGUUACUCCUUUGUCUAUAAAUGCACAGUCUGCACAGAUAAAACUCAAAUCUGAAAAUUAACGUAGAAAUUUAGCACAGUUAAUUGUUUCUGAAUCUUUGUGUCUGUGCUGAAUAAUCUACUAAAGAAGGCUAAGCGUUGUUUAUGUGGAGUAUAACACAGUACAAUGCAAAAGUUCUAUAUUUUGUUAGAUAUAUUUUUUACCACCCAAACUUAAACUAAAACCUUAAAGUACCACCUUCUAAUCAUCCACAGGAACAUAUGCAAGCAAAUUAUGGGGGAACAAUAUGGAUAAAAAUAGUCUCCAAUAAAAAUCAUGCAGAUUCUUAAGACCCA